AACGAACGCUGGCGGCAGGCCUAACACAUGCAAGUCGAACGCAUCCUUCGGGGUGAGUGGCGCACGGGUGAGUAACACGUGGGAAUGUGCCCUUUGGUUCGGAAUAACGUCUGGAAACGGACGCUAAUACCGGAUGUCCCCUGCGGGGGAAAGAUUUAUCGCCAAAGGAGCAGCCCGCGUCUGAUUAGGUAGUUGGUGGGGUAAAGGCCUACCAAGCCGACGAUCAGUAGCUGGUCUGAGAGGAUGAUCAGCCACACUGGGACUGAGACACGGCCCAGACUCCUACGGGAGGCAGCAGUGGGGAAUAUUGGACAAUGGGCGCAAGCCUGAUCCAGCCAUGCCGCGUGAGUGAUGAAGGCCUUCGGGUUGUAAAGCUCUUUCGCACACGACGAUGAUGACGGUAGUGUGAGAAGAAGCCCCGGCUAACUUCGUGCCAGCAGCCGCGGUAACAC
rnacentral:rRNA from 1 species